UUAGGGAAUUUAUUAAUAUGUAUAUUGGAUUAAUUAAAUAAUUAAGAUAUAAUUUUGUUAUAAUAAAAGUAAUUUUGGAAGGUUUGUCCUAAAGUAAUAUUUAGUAAAUUUGGGUUAUUAAGAUUGAUAGAAAAUUAGUACUGUAAGGGAAUUGUGAAAUAUCAGUGAAACAAUUAUUUUUUUUUAAGUAAAAUUUGAUUUUGUACCUUGUGUAUCAGGGUUUGUUAAAUAUAAUUUAUGGUAUUUAAAUAUCUCGAAACAAAAAUCGCGAGAAUAUUUUAAAAUAGUUAGUGUGGUAAAAUUAUUAUUAAUAAUAUUUUUGUAAUGAAAUAUUAAACGUGUUUUGUGAUAUCUAGUUUUCUAAGAAAUAAAUUUAAUUUAUAUUAUGUUAAGGUAAAAUUUUGUUAUAUAAUUAUUAUUUUGGCAUUUAAUAUAUCUCUGGGGAUAAGCUGAGGGAUAAAAAUUAUUAUAAUGAUUUAAUAGAAAUAAUAUGAUUUUGUAGGCUUUAAAUUAGCUUUUUAGGGAAUAUUGUUAUAAAUUGAUUAAAUUUUAUAUUUAUUUUUGAAAUGAUUUUAAUUUUUUUAUUAGAAUUGAAUAAUUAAUAAAUAGUUAAUUGUAAUAAUGAUGAAAUGAGUAGAUUUAAUAUAGUUUAAAAUGUAAAAUUUAAUAAUUAUAUAGAAGGAAUUCGGCAAAAUUUUUAUUCGCAUGUUUAUCAAAAACAUUUCUUCUUGAGAUUAAAUAUGAAGUAGGGCCUGCCCACUGAUUAUUUUAAAGGGCCGCGGUAGUUUGACCGUGCAAAGGUAGCAAAAUCAUUAGUCUUUUAAUUGAAGGCUUGUAUGAAUGGUUUGACGAAAUAAGUACUGUCUUGUUUAUAAAAAGUUGAAUUUAACUUCUUAGUGAGAAGGCUAAGAUAAUAUUAGAGGACGAGAAGACCCUAUAGAGUUUUACUGAAAAUUAGGUAAUUUAUUAUAGAAGUUUAAUUAUAUUAUUUAUAUUUUAAAGUUUUGUUGGGGAGAUAUAAAGGAAUGAAUAACUCUUUAUAAUUAAUAAAUUUACAUUAAUUUAUGAUUAAGUGAUCCAAUAUUAGUGAUUAUAAGAUUAAAUUACCUUAGGGAUAACAGCGUAAUUUUUUUUGAGAGUUCUUAUCGAUAAAGGAGAUUGCGACCUCGAUGUUGGAUUAAGAAUAUUUUUAGGUGGAGUAGUUUAUAAAAUAAGUCUGUUCGACUUUUAAAAUCUUACAUGAUCUGAGUUCAGACCGGCGUGAGCCAGGUUGGUUUCUAUCCUUAAUAAAUUAAUUAUGAAUUUUUAGUACGAAAGGACCAAAAUUUUGGAAUAAUUUUUUGUAAAUUGGAUAUAAAUAAGUU
rnacentral:rRNA from 1 species